AUGUGGAUGACCUGGGAUCUUGCUAAAAUGCAGAUUCUGACUCAGGGAGUCCUAGCAGGGACUGAGACUCUGAAUUUCUAAGUUCCCAGUUGGUGCUGAU
rnacentral:miRNA from 1 species